rnacentral:rRNA from 1 species
GGUAAGGCCUUUCGGGGUACACGAGCGGCGAACGGGUGAGUAACACGUGGGUGAUCUGCCCUGCACUUCGGGAUAAGCCUGGGAAACUGGGUCUAAUACCGGAUAUGACCUCCUAUCGCAUGGUGGGUGGUGGAAAGAUUUAUCGGUGCAGGAUGGGCCCGCGGCCUAUCAGCUUGUUGGUGGGGUAAUGGCCUACCAAGGCGACGACGGGUAGCCGACCUGAGAGGGUGACCGGCCACACUGGGACUGAGACACGGCCCAGACUCCUACGGGAGGCAGCAGUGGGGAAUAUUGCACAAUGGGCGAAAGCCUGAUGCAGCGACGCCGCGUGAGGGAUGACGGCCUUCGGGUUGUAAACCUCUUUCAGCAGGGACGAAGCGCAAGUGACGGUACCUGCAGAAGAAGCACCGGCUAACUACGUGCCAGCAGCCGCGGUAAUACGUAGGGUGCAAGCGUUGUCCGGAAUUACUGGGCGUAAAGAGUUCGUAGGCGGUUUGUC